rnacentral:rRNA from 1 species
GAUGAACGCUAGCGGGAGGCCUAACACAUGCAAGCCGAGCGGUAUUUGUUCUUCGGAACAGAGAGAGCGGCGCACGGGUGCGGAACACGUGUGCAACCUGCCUUUAUCUGGGGGAUAGCCUUUCGAAAGGAAGAUUAAUACCCCAUAAUAUAUUGAGUGGCAUCAUUUGAUAUUGAAAACUCCGGUGGAUAGAGAUGGGCACGCGCAAGAUUAGAUAGUUGGUGAGGUAACGGCUCACCAAGUCAAUGAUCUUUAGGGGGCCUGAGAGGGUGAUCCCCCACACUGGUACUGAGACACGGACCAGACUCCUACGGGAGGCAGCAGUGAGGAAUAUUGGACAAUGGGUUAGCGCCUGAUCCAGCCAUCCCGCGUGAAGGACGACGGCCCUAUGGGUUGUAAACUUCUUUUGGAUAGGGAUAAACCUACUCUCGUGAGAGUAGCUGAAGGUACUAGACGAAUAAGCACCGGCUAACUCCGUG